rnacentral:misc_RNA from 1 species
UUUCCGUAGGUGAACCUGCGGAAGGAUCAUUGUCGAAAGCCUGUAGAAUGUCGAUGGACAUGCGGACUUGUAGGAACAUAUGCGUGGGGUGCAUGGGGGGCGUAGCUCGGUCACUAAUGUGCGGUCGAUGGGGAUGUGUCCGGGAGCCCAUGCACACUCCGCUCCGACACUUAAAUCGGCAGAGAACGUGCCAAGGAAGCCCAAUUAGAAAAUCUUUCCCCCCACCCCCUCGCCGCAUGUCGUGCAUGUGGGGGCCGGGGAGGUGGAUUGCGCAACUGUGACAUAACGACUCUCGACAAUGGAUAUCUCGGCUCCCGUAUCUAUGAAGAACGCAGCGAAAUGCGGUACAUGGUGUGAAUUGCAGAAUCUCGUGAAUCAUUGAGUUUUUGAACGCAAGUUGCGCCCGAAGCCUCUUUUUGGCCGAGGGCACGCCUGCCUGGGUGCCGUGCAUGGAGUUGUCCCAGGACCCUCCUCCGGCAGGAGACUCGUUUAUGUUGUGGGUUUUCGGGAGAGAAGGGACCGCCGGGGUUGAUGCUGGUCUUCCGUUCUACGUUGUGCGGUUGGCUUAAAUUCGGGGUCCCAUGCGACAUGCGCUGCGAUGUGUUGGGGAAGACAAUUUUCGUCCCUUGUCGGUUGGUGAGCCACCUGUGGUCCCAUGGCCUCGUUGACACACUGAUGGGGAAGCCAUCCAGGCCCC